rnacentral:rRNA from 1 species
AUUGAACGCUGGCGGCAGGCCUAACACAUGCAAGUCGAACGGCAGCGGGGGAUAGCUUGCUAUCCUGCCGGCGAGUGGCGGACGGGUGAGUAAUGCAUGGGGAGCUGCCCAGUCGAGGGGGAUAACAACUGGAAACGGUUGCUAAUACCGCAUACGCCCUGAGGGGGAAAGGUGGGGAACUUCGGUCCUACCGCGAUUGGAUGCGCCCAUGUGGGAUUAGCUAGUUGGUGAGGUAACGGCUCGCCAAGGCGACGAUCUCUAGCUGGUCUGAGAGGAUGACCAGCCACACUGGAACUGAGACACGGUCCAGACUCCUAGGGGAGGCAGCAGUGGGGAAUAUUGCACAAUGGGGGAAACCCUGAUGCAGCCAUGCCGCGUGUGUGAAGAAGGCCUUCGGGUUGUAAAGCACUUUCAGUCAGGAGGAAGGGGUGAUGGCUAAUAUCCAUCAUCAUUGACGUUACUGACAGAAGAAGCACCGGCUAACUCCGUGCCAGCAGCCGCCGUAA